UAGCUCUGACUGCGAUCGCGCGCUGCCG
rnacentral:sRNA from 1 species